AGUAGCACGUGGAUAACCUACCUAUAAGACUGGGAUAACUUCGGGAAACCGGAGCUAAUACCGGAUAAUAUAUUGAACCGCAUGGUUCAAUAGUGAAAGACGGUUUUGCUGUCACUUAUAGAUGGAUCCGCGCUGCAUUAGCUAGUUGGUAAGGUAACGGCUUACCAAGGCAACGAUGCGUAGCCGACCUGAGAGGGUGAUCGGCCACACUGGAACUGAGACACGGUCCAGACUCCUACGGGAGGCAGCAGCA
rnacentral:rRNA from 1 species